UACGUAGGGGGCUAGCGUUAUCCGGAAUUACUGGGCGUAAAGGGUGCGUAGGUGGUUUCUUAAGUCAGAGGUGAAAGGCUACGGCUCAACCGUAGUAAGCCUUUGAAACUGGGAAACUUGAGUGCAGGAGAGGAGAGUGGAAUUCCUAGUGUAGCGGUGAAAUUCGUAGAUAUUAGGAGGAACACCAGUUGCGAAGGCGGCUCUCUGGACUGUAACUGACACUGAGGCACGAAAGCGUGGGGAGCAAACAGGAUUAGAUACCCUGGUAGUCCCUGAGCGGG
rnacentral:rRNA from 1 species